ACCACCCUUUCCCUCUCCUUGAGAUGUCAGAAACCUCUCCCUCUCUCUGCAGCUGCUGGCCCUCUGGGAAGGCUAGGAGCACGAGGCUGGAAACCCAUAGAGCCCUUCCCCGCCGCCUGCCAGCCACCCUCCCGAGCUGCAGCAGAAGCUAUAAAAAGCACAGCCGUUCAACAAUAGGUGACAUCACCCAGCGGCGGAAAGGACUGGAUUCUGCCAGAUGCCAGGGAGAGUUAUGGCCCCUAUCUCUCCCUCAGGACGGGAGCCCCUCGGGAAAGGGCCUGGCGAGUGGCGCCCUUCUGCUGGUGAUGUUUCCGGAGCGGGACAGAGACCAGCAGGCAUAUGCUGGGCACAGACCUCCUUUCCCCCUCACAGCGGCUGCCAGAGGCACGGAUCACUCUUGCCGUUACCCAGAGGAGCAAAGCUGAGGCUCAGAGAGGGCACCGUCAUGCACCAUUGCAGCCUGCUUCUAUUUGUCCGUGAGCAACUGAGGACAGUACCUGUCUCUUGUCUCUGAUUGUCCAGCUCCUUACAAGCCCGGCACGCACUAUGUGCUAGGUAUAUGACCUGAAAGACAUCCUUCAAAGGGAAUUGAUUCCACAAAAGA